rnacentral:rRNA from 1 species
UACGUAGGGAGCAAGCGUUAUUCGGAAUUAUUGGGCGUAAAGGGCGCGUAGGCGGCCUGGCAAGUGGAAGGUGAAAUCCCUCGGCUUAACCGAGGAACUGCCCUCCAAACUGCUUGGCUUGAGUCCGGGAGAGGUGAGUGGAAUUCCCAGUGUAGCGGUGAAAUGCGUAGAUAUUGGGAGGAACACCCGUGGCGAAGGCGGCUCUCUGGGACGGUACUGACGCUGAGACGCGAAAGCGUGGGGAGCGAACAGG